CUACGGGUGGCACCAGUGAGGAAUAUUGCACAAUGGGGGGAACCCUGAUGCAGCAACGCCGCGUGGAGGAUGACGCAUUUCGGUGUGUAACUCCUUUUAUAUGUCAAGAAAAUGACGGUAGCAUAUGAAUAAGCACCGGCUAACUCCGUGCCAGCAGCCGCGGUAAUACGGAGAGGUGCAAGCGUUACUCGGAAUCACUGGGCGUAAAGGACGCGUAGGCGGGUUGGAAAGUCAGGUGUGAAAUCCUACAGCUUAACUGUAGAACUGCACUUGAAACUUCUAAUCUAGAGUAUGGGAGGGGGAGAUGGAAUUAGUGGUGUAGGGGUAAAAUCCGUAGAUAUCACUAGGAAUACCUAAAGCGAAGGCGAUCUCCUGGAACAUUACUGACGCUAAGGCGUGAAAGCGUGGGGAGCAAACAGGAUUAGAUACCCCCGUAGUC
rnacentral:rRNA from 1 species